GACGAACGCUGGCGGCGUGCUUAACACAUGCAAGUCGAACGGAAAGGCCCUGCUUUUGUGGGGUGCUCGAGUGGCGAACGGGUGAGUAACACGUGAGUAACCUGCCCUUGACUUUGGGAUAACUUCAGGAAACUGGGGCUAAUACCGGAUAGGAGCUCCUGCUGCAUGGUGGGGGUCGGAAAGUUUCGGCGGUUGGGGAUGGACUCGCGGCUUAUCAGCUUGUUGGUGGGGUAGUGGCUUACCAAGGCUUUGACGGGUAGCCGGCCUGAGAGGGUGACCGGCCACAUUGGGACUAAGGUACGGCGCAGAAUCCUACGGGAGGCAGCAGUGGGGAAUAUUGCACAAUAGGCGGAAGCCUGAUGCAGCAACGCCGGGUGCGGGAUGACGGCCUUCGGGUUGUAAACCGCUUUCGCCUGUGACGAAGCGUGAGUGACGGUAAUGGGUAAAGAAGCACCGGCUAACUACGUG
rnacentral:rRNA from 1 species